GAGUUUGAUCCUGGCUCAGGAUAAACGCUGGCGGCAUGCCUAAUACAUGCAAGUCGAACGGGAGUGCUUGCACUCCAGUGGCGAACGGGUGAGUAACACGUAUCUAAUCUACCUUUUAGUGGGGGAUAACCUUUGGAAACGAAGGAUAAUACCGCAUAAGAUCUUCAUUAUGACAUCAGAAGAAGAGGAAAGAUCCGUUUGGAUCGCUAAAAGAUGAGGAUGCGGCGUAUUAGUUAGUAGGCGGGGUAAAGGCCCACCUAGACGAUGAUACGUAGCCGAACUGAGAGGUUGAUCGGCCACAUUGGGACUGAGAUACGGCCCAGACUCCUACGGGAGGCAGCAGUAGGGAAUUUUUCACAAUGGACGAAAGUCUGAUGAAGCAAUGCCGCGUGAGUGAUGAAGGUCUUCGGAUUGUAAA
rnacentral:rRNA from 1 species